rnacentral:rRNA from 1 species
ACAGAGGGUGCGAGCGUUAAUCGGAAUUACUGGGCGUAAAGGGCGCGUAGGCGGUAAGAUGAGUAUGAUGUGAAAGCCCCCGGCUCAACUGGGGAGGGUCACGCGAUACUGAUCGACUCGGAGGCAGGAGAGGGUAGUGGAAUUCCCGGUGUAGUGGUGAAAUGCGUAGAUAUCGGGAGGAACACCAGUGGCGAAGGCGACUACCUGGCCUGUUCUUGACGCUGAGGCGCGAAAGCUAGGGGAGCAAACGGGA